CAGAGGGGGCAAGCGUUGUUCGGAAUUACUGGGCGUAAAGGGCGCGUAGGCGGCCUGCUAAGUCGAACGUGAAAUCCCUGGGCUCAACCCAGGAACUGCGUCCGAUACUGGUUGGCUUGAAUCCGGGAGAGGGAUGUGGAAUUCCAGGUGUAGCGGUGAAAUGCGUAGAUAUCUGGAGGAACACCGGUGGCGAAGGCGACAUCCUGGACCGGCAUUGACGCUGAGGCGCGAAAGCCAGGGGAGCAAACGGGAUUAGAUACCCCGGUAGUCCUGGCCCUAAACGAUGAAUGCUUGGUGUGGUGGGUAUCGAUCCCUACCGCGCCGAAGCUAACGCAUUAAGCAUUCCGCCUGGGGAGUACGGUCGCAAGGCUG
rnacentral:rRNA from 1 species